ACAUCGAACACCAGGCGUCGAAGCAGGUGCUGCAGCAUGGACGGGCGGAUAUACCUGAGGAGGACAAGGCCAGAGAGGGCAGAGAUAUUACGCGAGACCCCGCCUUGGCGACCCCGCCCACUCCCUCCGCCACCAUCGGCCCCUCCUCACCUGCACAGCGCCAUGAGGCAGUCCUCGAUGACGUCGCGCUGUGCUUUGAGGUGUCAGGAUAUGUAUGCAGUCCCAGUUCUGCAGAUGCUGUCUCUCAGCCUAUCAGAUGUCCUGGGUGGAGGCAUGUGGGCGAUUAGCCAGGUGGGCGUUACUCACCGUGUCCAGUGAAGCAGCCGCCCUCAUGUCAGGAAGGAACCCCACAUCCAGCACAUGCAGCAAGAAGUCCUGGUUCUCAAUGCCAUACACUCGGUCCAGGAAAAGCACCAUGGAUGCCUUGUGGUCAGGCACGAAGGAUGCAGACAUCUUCGGCUGAACCAGUGCGCCAUCUACAGGCGGGGAUGGUGGGGUGUGAGCAUGUGCUCCUUCCCAGCCUCCCUCAACAAUUCCACCUCCCCCCACCUCCCACCUACCUUUGCCCAGGGUGGGGAUCUGCAGUGGGAGGCUGAUGAUGCCCACGAGGUCAUCCAAGGGCACGAGGGACCGAAGGAUGGCACGGAUCCUCAGGGCCUCACCCUUACCGGCUUGAAUCAACUGGAGGUGGUGCAGAGGGCAAGAGGCAUGUCAUUAGACAAUGGUGCCCCGUCUGGGACUUGAUCUAUUCUAACCAUUCCUGACGCACUGACAGUAAAGCAAGCCUCCUUUGUGUAUAUGUCUUGUAUGCAUUGUGUGCAUGUGCAUACAUUGGACCAAAACUGUGCACAUGUAUGUGUGUGUACAUGCAUAUGUGUGUGUAUGCACAUAUGUGCACUUGUACCACCACGUGAAGGCCAGAGGUUGGUUGAUGUCAGGUGUCUUUCUCCACUGCUCUUCCUUGUUUCUUGAGACCGGGUCUCUCUUUGAGCCUGAAGCUCGUUGCUCCAACUAACAUAGCUGUGCAGUUGUCCCUGGAGAUGCUGUUUUGUGGGACGUUGCUUCUUUUUCCAGAUGGAGAUGUUUUAUUUUGUUUGAGACGGGAUCUCUCUGUUACAUAGUCCUGGCUGGCCUGGAACUCCCAGAGAUCCACCUGCCUCUACCCCUUGAGUUUUGGGAUUAAAGGCUUGCACCCCCA